UACGCCGGGCUCGCGCCGGCGGCGGAGUGGAGUGAGGCUCGGGGGAGGGGAGGGGCAGGGCUCCGGCGGUCGAGCUUGCUCGCUGCUCCGCGCCCCCAGUGGUCCCGGCCCCGGACCGCUCGCUCGCUCACUGGCGCGCCGCGGUGCCCCGGGGCGGCUCGGUUCCCCUUUAAACGCCGCUCGGCCCCCUCGGCUCCCGAUCGCCCGCUGCAGCCCUUCCCGCCGCCAGCCUCGCGGAGGGCUGGGAGGCGACCGCGAUCGUCUGCGCCGCCCGCCCGGCGCGCGCCUCGGUCCCGGGUCCCCGCGGCGCGGCCCCCUCGCAGCGCAGGGGCGGGCGGGCGACCGCGGAGUGGCGGGCGCCGCGCGGAGGCAAGGCGGGCGUGUUCAAUGGAAGUAUGCUACCAGCUGCCGGUGCUGCCCCUGGACAGGCCGGUCCCCCAGCACGUCCUCAGCCGCCGAGGAGCCAUCAGCUUCAGCUCCAGCUCCGCGCUCUUCGGCUGCCCGCAUCCCCGGCAGCUCUCGCAGAGACGUGGAGCUAUUUCCUAUGACAGUUCUGACCAGACUGCGUUAUAUAUUCGUAUGCUCGGCGAUGUCCGCGUAAGGAGCCGAGCAGGAUUUGAAGCAGAAAGAAGAGGUUCGCACCCUUAUAUCGACUUCCGUGUUUUCCACUCUCAAUCUGAAAUUGAAGCAUCAGUCUCCGCCAGGAACAUCAGAAGACUACUAAGUUUCCAGCGCUAUCUCAGAUCCUCGCGCUUUUUUCGGGGCGCCACAGUUUCUAGUUCUCUAAACAUUCUAGAUGACGAUUAUAAUGGACAAGCCAAGUGUAUGCUGGACAAAGUUGGAAACUGGAAUUUUGAUAUCUUUCUCUUUGAUAGACUAACAAAUGGAAACAGUCUAGUAAGUUUAACCUUUCAUUUAUUUAGUCUUCAUGGAUUGAUUGAGUACUUCCAUUUAGAUAUGGUGAAACUCCGUCGAUUUUUAGUUAUGAUUCAAGAAGAUUACCACAGUCAAAAUCCUUACCACAAUGCAGUCCAUGCUGCGGAUGUUACUCAGGCCAUGCACUGUUACCUAAAGGAACCUAAGCUUGCCAAUUCUGUAACCCCUUGGGAUAUCUUGCUGAGCUUAAUCGCAGCUGCCACUCAUGAUCUGGAUCACCCGGGUGUUAAUCAGCCUUUCCUUAUUAAAACCAACCAUUAUUUGGCAACUUUAUACAAGAACACCUCAGUCCUGGAGAACCACCACUGGAGAUCGGCCGUGGGCUUGCUGAGAGAAUCGGCUUUGUUCGCGCAUCUGCCACUGGAGAGCAGGCAACAGAUGGAGACCCAGAUAGGUGCUUUGAUACUAGCCACAGACAUCAGCCGCCAGAACGAGUACCUGUCAUUGUUUAGAUCUCACUUGGACAGAGGUGACUUACACCUUGACGAUGGCAGACAUCGGCAUUUGGUUCUACAGAUGGCCUUGAAAUGUGCUGACAUCUGUAACCCCUGUCGGAGCUGGGAGCUAAGCAAGCAGUGGGGUGAAAAAGUGACGGAGGAAUUCUUCCACCAAGGAGACAUAGAAAAAAAGUACCAUUUGGGUGUGAGUCCACUUUGUGAUCGUCAAACUGAGUCUAUUGCCAACAUCCAGAUUGGGUUUAUGACCUACCUGGUGGAGCCGUUAUUUACGGAGUGGGCCAGGUUUUCGGAUACACGGCUGUCACAGACAAUGCUCGGCCAUGUGGGGCUGAAUAAAGCCAGCUGGAAGGGACUGCAGAGACAACCGCCCGGCAGCGAGGAUGCGAACGCUGCCUUUCAGCUCAACUCACAGUUACUAACUCAGGAAAAUCGGUUAUCCUAACCCUGAACCAGUGGGAACAGCUCCCUCCUGCAAGAUUGUGGAAAUGUGAAAGGGGUCUCGAGGUGAAGAACUGGUUUCCAAGGAAAUGAUGCCAGCCUUAUUAUUGAGGUUUCUUCUGUUGGAUCAUUGGAGCCCACUUUUUAAUGAUAAGACCUGAAUACACAGCAAUAUGCAUCUGGCUUUCGUGUGAAACCUUGAAUAUGCAAAGCUCAGCAGGUGAACCAGAAAGGAUUAUCAAAGGAAGAUUUGCUACGCGCGUUUCCUUCGAGCCCAGCAGAAUCUCGAUCUGACCUGCCCGAUUCCACAAACCAUCUGCCCCUUCCACUAUGUUCUCUCUGAGAAAACAGAAAUGUGAAGCGCCCAGCCUCUGCUGCCUCUGGCAAGACUCAAUGUUUACAAAUCAACUCUGAAAUACUGGUUCUAAAUUGCCUUGGAGCAUGAUUGUGAAGGGACCACCGAGACAGUCCCAGCUCCAGCUGGGGACUGCAGCUGUCCAGUGGUUUGCCUUUUUCUUCUUUGGAUGCCCUCAGAGCCUCCCUUUCCUUCGCUGUUUUGUCUUUUGCGCUGGAGAGGGAGCAGCUGUCACACAGCACCAAGCACUUCACUCCAGUGCUGUUUGGCACUGUAGAUUUUUAACUCUUGGUUUUUCCUCUGGGGCGGGAGGGCCGGAACACCGGUGUCCCAGCUGUAUCCUGACUCUGAAGACACUGCAUGUUGUUUUCACUACUGUACACGUGACCUGCACAUGCAAGGAAAAGGUGGAAUGUUUAACACACCAUAAUCAGCUCAGGGUAUUUGCCGAUCUGAAAUAAAGUGGGAUGGGGAAGUGUGUCCUUCAGACCAAGGGAACUAAGUCCCUUUUGCUGCAGUGCGUGAGAGGGUCUCCCUAGUCUCAGAUGGCCUGUUAACAGUGUAGACACCUGGCCUCAAACUCACACGGAUCUCCCCACUUGUCUCCUGGGAUUUAAGGCAAAUCUCCUUGGGAAGCCAAAUUAGGAGCAGCUGGUUUACUCAGUGAGCAAGGACUCUGAGCAAGGGACGCGUUUCCUCAUGCACCCAUCUCCCUGUGGGGAUACCUGCUGAUACCCAUAGCUGUGGACUGGGGUACCCUCUUCCCUCGGAUGCUCUAGGGGCUCUCUGCCACAGUUGUUUCUACACGGUAGCUUGACUGGUAACUCUGUUAGACCUGCCUGUUACUUCCUUCAGCCUUUUCUCUGCCUGGGGUGGCUGUUGACUUCUGCCCUGACUAUGCUGGUCUUUGACAAGGUGUAGCUUUCCUCUCUCCAGCUUCUCAAAGGGAAACCAAUGAUCUCCCGGAUCUUCUUAGAGCUGUGUGGGAAUUACCUGCCACCCUCCUGCUUCUUCGACAUUCAAGUCACAUUUUUUAAAAAAAAAAUAAAUAAAAAAGUAAGCAAAUACAUAGUGCAAAAUUCAUGACAUUUCAAAAGAAAUUGGAUACUUAAAAGAAUUUUUGAGGAUGUAGCAUCCAUUUGGGAGUCUGGGCCCAGUGCUGAAGAGGGGGUAGGUGAGAAAAUUUUAACAAGUCCUACCUAAACCACAAAUCUGGUUCCUCAUUAAUAUUUGUACUUUAAACAUAAUGCUUUGUAACAAGGCUCUUUGUAUUUUUUUUAAAAAAAUCAAAAUUCUAUAUUUUUGUCCUCUGUGAACCUGGAAAAAAAUCCCCUAUACCUGAGGUAUAGGUUAGAGGUGCUAGUGAUUCCUUUAUGGUUCAGAAAUGGUCUUUUUCCACAAUGCUUUUUGAUGUUUGUUUCCUAUUUAAGACCUAAAAAUCAUACUGCUUUAAAAGGAACGUGCAAAAAAACUAGUUAGCCCAUCUCCAGUGUGUAUUUGCAACGUAAGCUGCACUGGAGAUUUGGUCUGCAGCCAUUCCCUAAGAACCUGCAGGCAUUGGGAGGACCCCAAACAUGGGCUUCAGGAGGAUAACCACCACCGCAGGCCAACACAGGGAUGAGCUGACAGGAACAUACAUGGUCUCUUCUGUUCUUCAGUGUGCAUGGAGUAGGGUGGAUGUGAACUGGGCCAUCGGUAAACAGAUUACUGUGUAAUGUACCCUUUAGCUAGGAGUGGUUUGGUAGUACUGAAGUUGUAUAGUAAACAAUGUCUGGAUCCUGUUGUGUGUCGAACAUGGCGCUGGGAGUUAACAAUUUGAAAGAGCAUUAAAAGUUACAAGCCAGGGUCUCACUGCGAUUGGUUUUCAGAGUUGUGUACGAAGGUGGAACUGGAGCACUGCUUGAGAGACAGGCUUGAGGACCUAACUAGCACCGUCCGUAUCUCUAAAUACCGAAAUCGCUCGGCAUUCAAAUUUGAUUAAAGAAUACAGUUUUAAGUAUUCAAAAUGAGUAAAAUACUGACUUUAUCAAUUACAUUUUAAAUUUUCAUGGCUAAGCUUUGUAAGUUACCCCGGACUCCAUUUUUAGAAUCUGGUAGGAUGAAAGAGGAAAGAGAAAUGCCAUUAUUUUCAGUAUUCAGCCUCUUGUUGGCUCUGAACUUACAACUGAAACCUGCUGACUUAGUCAUUUACGGUUUUUAGUUGAUUCAGUAGUCUCUGUUAAAAAAAAUCCAUCUUGUUUUUAAGCCCUCUCUUCCACCCGUGUAUGUGUGUAUGUGUGUAAUAAAUUUAAAAUAUUUUUUCACUGUUUGGACAUGUCAUAAAAAUUUCAGAAAACUGUAAUUAAUGUAUCACAGUUUCUUAUCUUAAAUUUAUAAAAAAUAUAAAGUUUUGAAGGAAACAUCAAAGUCUGCCUGUGGGUUUUCUUCAGGUGCGGAAGCACAGGACAGCUCACGACUGGAAACAAGUACGAUCAGGAGCCAGGAUGGCUGUUCCAGGAGGGGCUUCUUUCUCACCUUGUAGACUGGCUAACUUAGUUUAUCCUCAUGUGGCCAUUGGAAGAAUGGGUUAAUAAUUUCUUACUCUGAGAAGAACACUGAUCCUAUCGUGAAUCUCAAAUGAGUUAAGGCCUUGCGUUCCUAGGUGUUGGGACACGCCCAAUGGCAGAGCUCUUGUCUCCAUGCAGAAGGCUCCCGUCUGUGUUAAAGUGAACAUUAACAGAAACUGGAUUUUCCAUCUGAGAAGGGGCUAAGUGUU